rnacentral:ncRNA from 1 species
AUAAAUACGAAGAUUGAGAAAAGUAAAUUCUAUAGCAUUUAGCAGAGAACUUAUCAUUUGCUGGGAGAUAAGAUUUGUGAAAGAAUUGAAAAUCACUCAUGAGUAGUUAGCUGAAGAUAUUAUUAUUGUGUAAGCAUGACCGGUAGCAACCGUUAUAUUGCCUAAUAUUAAAUAGGGGUUCCUAUAGAUAUUUUGUUCGAGAGGUUACUUUUUUGUAACAAGUAGAGUGGUACCGCAGAGUCUUAGGCUUUGUCUCUAAA